GUAGCAGUGUGAUUGCACGUUUGGCGGUGUUUUUCUACUUUCAAUGUGGCUAGCUAACUCAUUCUAGACCUGGCUCAAACUGCUCUAGAACUCGGGCAAGAUUUUAUACCCGAAUCGGUUGAUGAAAUGUUGGACAUAGAUGAAAUUUAUGAAGAGGAAGAAAGUGAGAAUGAAAGUUUUGAUAAAGAGGUAAAUAAAGAAACUACCUCAGUGAAAGGUGAAAAUUCAGAGGACGAAGAAAAUGGGCGUAAAGGCGACGGGAAUACCAAAGAAAAAAGGUCAACAACGGAGCCCAAGAGCAAAAAAUCGUCCAAAGGCAUAGAUAAGAAAUUGAAGAAAUGGGGGAGUGCAAUAAUGCAACCGCUCAUGCCAAACGUGAAUUGGAAAGUAGAUUUCAACCUGGGAGUAAAAGCAUCAAACCAGAAGGAUGAAGGAGAAGACAAAGUGGAUUCUAAACAGUGGCCUGAAAACUAUGAAAAAUUUGCAAAUUUGGUAAUUGAAAAUAAACGUCUAGAGCAGAUUGCGCAAAAAUGGCAAGACGAUCUGGAAGAGCUUUCAAAACAGCAUGCAAAUCUUAAGGAAGAGAUGGACUGUAAAGCGGAGACACACUAUUUAGAAGUGACUACACUCAAUGAAAACUUGCAAAAGACAGAAACGGAGAAAAAUGAUCUUAAUGUGCACAUUAAAAGGGUAUACAACUCAAACAACGUCUUUAAUUUAUUAUAUUCAAGUGAUAAUUACUUCAUUGCAUCUUAAUGAUGUGUUGCUUAUAGAAAUGCUUAGAGAGCUAAUAUAUUUCAAUGAUUAUCAUUGCAGGUGGAAACACAACUUACAAUAGUAAAAUCUGAUAACGAACAUUUGAAAGUUGCAUUGCUUGAGCAGCAAAAGCUUCGACGAAGCUUGUCAGAAAAUUUGGCAAAACAAAUCGAAGAUCAUCGCAUAGAAUUCGAACGACUUGAUACAGAGCUUAAAACAGCUGCGACCAACCUUGCAAAGGCUAAAUCCAAAAGCCGGGAACAAGAGGAGGAAACAAGUCGAUUUAGAAAAGGUGAGUGUAGAAGUUUAUAAAAUUAGACUGAUUAUUUGUACCGCAGUUAUAUUGAAUUUAAUUUCAAUUAUAGAACUAGAAGCACUUUCUAUACAAAAUGUGAUUCUUCAACAAGAGAUUGAUUGUAAAACGGAGCAGCAUCUUUCAGAAGUAACGAAGCUUAAUGAAAGCUUGCAACAGUCCGAAAAGGAGAAAACUGAUCUUAAUUUGCACAAUGAAAAGCUUACUGCUGAUUUGCAAGCAGCAAUUGAGCUCAACAAUGCGGCCAAUACAGAAAACGUGCAACUACAGCAGAAGUUACGAAUGAUGGAAUAUAAAGUGUUUGAGCUGCAUCGUGCGACACAUGGUUUGGAAUCAAACUCCACCAUGAGCAUAAGCUCUGCAAACCAUUGGUUCGAUUAAGAAGGUGCGGUCUGAGGGGAGCUGUCCGAUUGACAUUUGGGGACAAUUGCUCAAAGCGGCGAUGCCAACAAUUGCGAUGCUCGAUCACAUUGACACCAGCAAAGAUUUCGCGAAAACCACAUCCGUACGAUGAGAGCGAGCUUCAUUACUCCAUCCAUUUAAACAAAAAUUCUAAUGGUAAAAGAGAGUAAUAAAACAACCCUCACGAUUUAAA